rnacentral:rRNA from 1 species
AACGAACGCUGGCGGCAUGCCUAACACAUGCAAGUCGAACGAGACCUUCGGGUCUAGUGGCGCACGGGUGCGUAACGCGUGGGAAUCUGCCCUUGGGUUCGGAAUAACAGUUGGAAACGACUGCUAAUACCGGAUGAUGACGUAAGUCCAAAGAUUUAUCGCCCAAGGAUGAGCCCGCGUAGGAUUAGCUAGUUGGUGAGGUAAAGGCUCACCAAGGCGACGAUCCUUAGCUGGUCUGAGAGGAUGAUCAGCCACACUGGGACUGAGACACGGCCCAGACUCCUACGGGAGGGAGGAGGGGGGAAUAUUGGAAAAUGGGGGGAAGGCUGAUCCAGCAAUGCCGCGUGAGUGAUGAAGGCCUUAGGGUUGUAAAGCUCUUUUACCCGGGAUGAUAAUGACAGUACCGGGAGAAUAAGCUCCGGCUAACUCCGUG